GCCCCUAUAGCUCAGUUGGUAGAGCUUCGGACUUUUAAUCCGCAGGUCCAGGGUUCGAGUCCCUGUGGGGGCA
rnacentral:tRNA from 1 species